GAAUCUGCCUUUAGGUCCGGGACAACCACUGGAAACGGUGGCUAAUACCGGAUGUGCCGCAACGUGAAAGGGGAAACCCGCCUGAAGAUGAGCUCGCGUCUGAUUAGCUAGUUGGUGAGGUAAAGGCUCACCAAGGCGACGAUCAGUAGCUGGUCUGAGAGGAUGACCAGCCACACUGGGACUGAGACACGGCCCAGACUCCUACGGGAGGCAGCAGUGGGGAAUUUUCCGCAAUGGGCGAAAGCCUGACGGAGCAAGACCGCGUGAGGGAAGAAGGCUCUUGGGUCGUAAACCUCUUUUGUCAGGGAAGAACACAAUGACGGUACCUGACGAAUCAGCCUCGGCUAACUCCGUGCCAGCAGCCGCGGUAAUACGGAGGAGGCAAGCGUUAUCCGGAAUUAUUGGGCGUAAAGCGUCCGUAGGUGGCUAGUCAAGUCUGCGGUCAAAGACUGGGGCUUAACCCUGGAAAGGCCGUGGAAACUGACGAGCUAGAGUGCAGUAGGGGUAGAGGGAAUUCCCGGUGUAGCGGUGAAAUGCGUAGAGCUCGGGAAGAACAUCGGCGGCGAAAGCGCUCUACUGGACUGCAACUGACACUCAGGGACGAAAGCUAGGGGAGCG
rnacentral:rRNA from 1 species